UUUAUCUGUAAAAAAAUCUUUAUUUUUAUUUCAAGUAAUUUCUUCAAACUUCCAGAUGCAAAGUUUGAAUAAAAUCUUCACUCAAAGAUACAAAGGGUUAAUGAACGGUACGUGGAAUCACAAGAGAAUAUUUUGGAUGCAGGCCUAUUUCUGCAAGUCCAGUCUUCCUAGAUGACAUCUCACAACUGCUGUGUUCACACUGGAAGGAAAUAAAAGGCUAUAGUUCACCUCAUUCCAUAUUUAUAAUUAUAGCACUUGGUGUAAUUAUACCUGCUGUUUUAUACAUCAGGAUAGGACAAUAAAGAUUAUACAGUGUGAGGUCAAUUUACAAAAUGUUUCCUUAAACAAAAGGACUAUCCUGGAAUUUAUUUUACAGAUGAAAUUUUUCUUUUUUCUUUUUGGAGACCGACUUCCACAGUCACCCAGGCUGGAGUGCUGUGGUGCAGUCUUCUGUCCUGCAGCCCCCGCCUCCGGGUUUAGGCGAUUUCCAAUUCUAAGCAGCUGGGAUUACAGGUGUGUACCACCAUACCCGGUUAAUUUUUGGAUUUUUAGCAGAGGCGUGGUUUCAUCAUGUUGGCCAAACUGGUCUGGAAGUCCUGGCCUCUAGUGAUCUGCUGGCCUCACAAUCCCAAAGUGCUGAGAUUACAGGCAUGAGCCACUGCCACAACAAUUUUAAAUAGCAUGGAGGCCACUCAAUCUAAUAGGAACUGCCUUCCAUGCACCGUCUGACAUCCCUCAAUCUCUCCAUUCAGAGAAA